rnacentral:misc_RNA from 1 species
AGAGAAAGACGACUAGAGGCAAGUUUUAAGGAUACGAGAUGCGUUUAUUCUCACAGCUGUUAAUUAUAAAAAAGAUACCAAGUAAAAAAAGUAGAGUCUCAUAGCUCAGCUGGUUAGAGCGCUACACUGAUAAUGUAGAGGUCGGCAGUUCGAGUCUGCCUGAGACUACUAAUUUUUUUUAUUUAUUGGAAAUUUUGGAAGUUGAGUUAUCACGUUAAGGUGAGCCGUUUUUGAAGCUGUUAACUUAUAACUGUUAGCUGUUAACUAUAAAAAGACGGGGAAUUAGCUCAGCUGGCUAGAGCGCCUGCCUUGCACGCAGGAGGUCAUCGGUUCGACUCCGAUAUUCUCCACAGAUAAAGCCUUAAUAUUAAGGUUUUUCAAAAUGAGAUUUUGAGGUUGGCACGUAAGCGCACUCCGAAAAAGUUCAUAUUGACAACGUUCAUUGACAUAUUGAAAAAAGAUACAUGAAAUUAGAUAGAAAUAUUUAAUAAAAGUAAUAAUUAUUGUAACGAGCAAUAAUUUGUAUUAAAGUAUUAAUUAUGAAAUUUUCAUAUUAAUUUUUUAAUAUAUAGUAACUCAUUAAAAAGACGAAAAGUAC